rnacentral:rRNA from 1 species
UACGUAGGAGACGAGCGUUGUCCGGAGUUACUGGGCGUAAAGGGCGCGCAGGCGGCCUGUCAGGUGUCUGGUGAAAGCUCCCGGCUUAACUGGGAGAGGUCCAGGCAAACCGUCAGGCUUGAGCGUCGGAGAGGGGCAUGGAAUUCCGGGUGGAGCGGUGAAAUGCGUAGAGAUCCGGAGGAACACCAAUGGCGAAGGCAGUGCCCUGGCCGACGGCUGACGCUCAGGCGCGAAAGCGUGGGGAGCAAACAGGAUUAGAUACCCUGGUAGUCCACGCCGUAAACGAUGUCCACUAGAUAGAGGCAGUUUCGACCCUGUCUUUGUUGCAGCUAACGCAUUAAGUGGACCGCCUGGGGAGUACGGUCGCAAGAUUAAA